GACGAACGCUGGCGGCGUGCCUAAUACAUGCAAGUAGAACGCUGAAGAGAGGAGCUUGCUCUUCUUGGAUGAGUUGCGAACGGGUGAGUAACGCGUAGGUAACCUGCCUUGUAGCGGGGGAUAACUAUUGGAAACGAUAGCUAAUACCGCAUAACAAUGGAUGACACAUGUCAUUUAUUUGAAAGGGGCAAUUGCUCCACUACAAGAUGGACCUGCGUUGUAUUAGCUAGUAGGUGAGGUAACGGCUCACCUAGGCGACGAUACAUAGCCGACCUGAGAGGGUGAUCGGCCACACUGGGACUGAGACACGGCCCAGACUCCUACGGGAGGCAGCAGUAGGGAAUCUUCGGCAAUGGGGGCAACCCUGACCGAGCAACGCCGCGUGAGUGAAGAAGGUUUUCGGAUCGUAAAGCUCUGUUGUAAGUCAAGAACGAGUGUGAGAGUGGAAAGUUCACACUGUGACGGUAGCUUACCAGAAAGGGACGGCUAACUACGUGCCAGCAGCCGCGGUAAUACGUAGGUCCCGAGCGUUGUCCGGAUUUAUUGGGCGUAAAGCGAGCGCAGGCGGUUUGAUAAGUCUGAAGUUAAAGGCUGUGGCUCAACCAUAGUUUGCUUUGGAAACUGUCAAACUUGAGUGCAGAAGGGGAGAGUGGAAUUCCAUGUGUAGCGGUGAAAUGCGUAGAUAUAUGGAGGAACACCGGUGGCGAAAGCGGCUCUCUGGUCUGUAACUGACGCUGAGGCUCGAAAGCGUGGGGAGCGAACAGGAUUAGAUACCCUGGUAGUCCACGCCGUAAACGAUGAGUGCUAGGUGUUGGAUCCUUUCCGGGAUUCAGUGCCGCAGCUAACGCAUUAAGCACUCCGCCUGGGGAGUACGACCGCAAGGUUGAAACUCAAAGGAAUUGACGGGGGCCCGCACAAGCGGUGGAGCAUGUGGUCUAAUUCGAAGCAACGCGAAGAACCUUACCAGGUCUUGACAUCCCGAUGCUAUUUCUAGAGAUAGAAAGUUACUUCGGUACAUCGGUGACAGGUGGUGCAUGGUUGUCGUCAGCUCGUGUCGUGAGAUGUUGGGUUAAGUCCCGCAACGAGCGCAACCCCUAUUGUUAGUUGCCAUCAUUCAGUUGGGCACUCUAGCGAGGCUGCCGGUAAUAAACCGGAGGAGGGUGGGGAUGACGUCAAAUCAUCAUGCCCCUUAUGACCUGGGCUACACACGUGCUACAAUGGUUGGUACAACGAGUUGCAAGUCGGUGACGGCAAGCUAAUCUCUUAAAGCCAAUCUCAGUUCGGAUUGUAGGCUGCAACUCGCCUACAUGAAGUCGGAAUCGCUAGUAAUCGCGGAUCAGCACGCCGCGGUGAAUACGUUCCCGGGCCU
rnacentral:rRNA from 1 species